AGUCGAACGGUGAAGCCAAGCUUGCUUGGUGGAUCAGUGGCGAACGGGUGAGUAACACGUGAGCAACCUGCCCUGGACUCUGGGAUAAGCGCUGGAAACGGCGUCUAAUACUGGAUAUGAGACGUGAUCGCAUGGUCGUGUUUGGAAAGAUUUUUCGGUCUGGGAUGGGCUCGCGGCCUAUCAGCUUGUUGGUGAGGUAAUGGCUCACCAAGGCGUCGACGGGUAGCCGGCCUGAGAGGGUGACCGGCCACACUGGGACUGAGACACGGCCCAGACUCCUACGGGAGGCAGCAGUGGGGAAUAUUGCACAAUGGGCGGAAGCCUGAUGCAGCAACGCCGCGUGAGGGAUGACGGCCUUCGGGUUGUAAACCUCUUUUAGCAGGGAAGAAGCGAAAGUGACGGUACCUGCAGAAAAAGCGCCGGCUAACUACGUGCCAGCAGCCGCGGUAAUACGUAGGGCGCAAGCGUUAUCCGGAAUUAUUGGGCGUAAAGAGCUCGUAGGCGGUUUGUCGCGUCUGCUGUGAAAUCCCGAGGCUCAACCUCGGGCCUGCAGUGGGUACGGGCAGACUAGAGUGCGGUAGGGGAGAUUGGAAUUCCUGGUGUAGCGGUGGAAUGCGCAGAUAUCAGGAGGAACACCGAUGGCGAAGGCAGAUCUCUGGGCCGUAACUGACGCUGAGGAGCGAAAGGGUGGGGAGCAAACAGGCUUAGAUACCCUGGUAGUCCACCCCGUAAACGUUGGGAACUAGUUGUGGGGACCAUUCCACGGUUUCCGUGACGCAGCUAACGCAUUAAGUUCCCCGCCUGGGGAGUACGGCCGCAAGGCUAAAACUCAAAGGAAUUGACGGGGACCCGCACAAGCGGCGGAGCAUGCGGAUUAAUUCGAUGCAACGCGAAGAACCUUACCAAGGCUUGACAUAUACGAGAACGGGCCAGAAAUGGUCAACUCUUUGGACACUCGUAAACAGGUGGUGCAUGGUUGUCGUCAGCUCGUGUCGUGAGAUGUUGGGUUAAGUCCCGCAACGAGCGCAACCCUCGUUCUAUGUUGCCAGCACGUAAUGGUGGGAACUCAUGGGAUACUGCCGGGGUCAACUCGGAGGAAGGUGGGGAUGACGUCAAAUCAUCAUGCCCCUUAUGUCUUGGGCUUCACGCAUGCUACAAUGGCCGGUACAAAGGGCUGCAAUACCGUGAGGUGGAGCGAAUCCCAAAAAGCCGGUCCCAGUUCGGAUUGAGGUCUGCAACUCGACCUCAUGAAGUCGGAGUCGCUAGUAAUCGCAGAUCAGCAACGCUGCGGUGAAUACGUUCCCGGGUCUUGUACACACCGCCCGUCAAGUCAUGAAAGUCGGUAACACCUGAAGCCGGUGGCCCAACCCUUGUGGAGGGAGCCGUCGAAGG
rnacentral:rRNA from 1 species